rnacentral:rRNA from 1 species
CUACGGGAUGCAGCAGUGGGGAAUAUUGGACAAUGGGGGAAACCCUGAUCCAGCAAUGCCGCGUGUGCGAAGAAGGCCUGCGGGUUGUAAAGCACUUUCGGUUGGGAGGACUGCUUCUAGCACUAAUAUUGUUGGAAGUUGACGUUACCUUCAGAAGAAGCACCGGCUAACUCCGUGCCAGCAGCCGCGGUAAUACGGAGGGUGCAAGCGUUAAUCGGAAUUACUGGGCGUAAAGCGCGCGUAGGCGGCUAGAUCAGUCGGGUGUGAAAGCCCCGGGCUUAACCUGGGAACUGCAUCCGAUACUGUCUAGCUUGAGUACAGGGGAGGAGAGUGGAAUUCCACAUGUAGCGGUGAAAUGCGUAGAUAUGUGGAGGAACACCAAUGGCGAAGGCAGCUCUCUGGCCUGAUACUGACGCGGAGGUGCGAAAGCGUGGGGAGCAAACAGGAUUAGAUACCCUCGUAGUC